rnacentral:lncRNA from 1 species
GGCGUUUAGCCUCCCGGACGUAGUUCUUUUUGGCGUUUCGUGUUUCGCCGCCAACAUACGGGCCUCCAAAUAUGGUGUCCACCUCGUGGAUAGGGGCUUCAUCUCUAGCUUGCCGGUUUCUUUGGUGUCUACGCCCUUCCCUGGGCCUCUCUGCAUCAUGCUCCCUUCGCCGUGGGGAUACAUCCCUUUGACGGGGAGCGGCCUCCUCACG